GCAGAGGGCAGGCCUGGUUUCAGAGGCUAGGGCAUGUAUUUAAUAAUUUCUCCAAAAUAUAGAUGUUGGUGUCGGGGCGUUCUGGAGCAGAUCCCAACGAGCCGGGCCCAGCGAAUGGAAAUGCCUUCUCCAUUUCUCGGAGAACAAGGCCAGUGGAGUAUGCCUUCUAUCAACUCUUUAAAGGGAGAACUCCCAGAAGCCAGCAGUGCCCUUGACAUAACCAGCUCAAAUUCAGGCUGCCAAGGCUGCCCUGAACCCAGAACCUGACACCUGACAGCCCUGGAAUGUCUUUACAGACUCUUGGCGUGGUUCACUCUGAGGCUAUGAGGGGACUGAAAGUUUCCUGCCUUUACCGACACGUCUGCUCCUCAGGUUCAAGGACCUGGUGACGCCCCUUUCCUAUGUCCACUGAGGUGACAAUGCUUUGGAUGAGGAGGUGGUAUCAUGGUACUCCCGUGGGAUUUCCCGAAGAAGGUAAAGCCACUGUCCAUCAAAAGUAAAAUUCUGAUUCUCCUUGGUUCCAUCUCUUUUCUUGUACAAACACAUACUGAGUACUAUGUAGCCCCUCUUUGAGGCAAUCCCCCCAAAUGGUCACAUGUUUCAUGAGAUGCCCCACAACAGCCCAGGACAUAGGCCAACUAUGUGUUAUCUGCAUCACAUAACUCUGGUAAUACAGGAGAGUUCAGAUCUGAGGCUGUGGGAGAAGGAUAUAGAAGAAUACCGCAGUCAAUGGAGAUAGAUAGCAACACUCUUCACUGAGGAAGGUGGUACGUCUUUUAAGACAGCCAUUCGCAGAUCUUCAAGAAACUGGGACAAAAUAAAACACCCCAAAUCAGAGGUGUCUCA
rnacentral:lncRNA from 1 species